rnacentral:rRNA from 1 species
CCCUUAGAUGUUCUGGGCCGCACGCGCGCUACACUGAUGCAUUCAACGAGUCUAAAACCUGCUCUGAUAGGGGUGGGUAAUCUUUUGAAUGUGCAUCGUGAUUGGGAUAGAUGAUUGCAAUUUUUCAUCUUCAACGAGGAAUGCCUAGUAAACGCAAGUCAUCAGCUUGCAUUGAUUACGUCCCUGCCCUUUAUACACACCGCCCGUCGCUCCUACCGAUUGAAUGAUCCGAUGAAUAUCAUGGAUUGAGGAUGUAAGCAGGUUCGCCUGUCUUCAUCUUCGAGAAGUGAAGUAAAUCUUAUCAUUUAGAGGAAGGAGAAGUCGUAACA